rnacentral:rRNA from 1 species
AUUGAACGCUGGCGGCAUGCCUUACACAUGCAAGUCGAACGGCGGCACGGGAGCAAUCCUGGUGGCGAGUGGCGAACGGGUGAGUAAAGUAUCGGAACGUGCCCAGUCGUGGGGGAUAACGUAGCGAAAGUUACGCUGAUACCGCAUACGAUCUAUGGAUGAAAGCGGGGGAUCGCAAGACCUCGCGCGAUUGGAGCGGCCGAUAUCAGAUUAGGUAGUUGGUGGGGUAAAGGCUCACCAAGCCGACGAUCUGUAGCUGGUCUGAGAGGACGACCAGCCACACUGGGACUGAGACACGGCCCAGACUCCUACGGGAGGCAGCAGUGGGGAAUUUUGGACAAUGGGCGCAAGCCUGAUCCAGCCAUGCCGCGUGCAGGAUGAAGGCCUUCGGGUUGUAAACUGCUUUUGUACGGAACGAAAAGGUUUGACUUAAUACGUUGGACUCAUGACGGUACCGUAAGAAUAAGCACCGGCUAACUACGUGCCAGCAGCCGCCGUAA